UGAUGUGUUUGGAAUUGAAGUUCACUUUUGUAAACAACUCGGUAGGGAAUGUUUAAAAAAAGGAUGGAUGUCUUCUUCUGUUUUAUCCCGUUUUGUGCCGACAAACAGGAAAGUAAUGAUGACACAGGGGGAGAAGAAUACAAAAUUUGCCAAGAAUCUACACAGACUGCCCGACCUCCGUUGUGCCAGGAGAAGAGAACUCCUGUGCAGUCUCCGAAUAGGCCUGCAGAAAUGAAGAAGGUGGAAGACAUUUUAAACCAUAAUUUUGAAAAAGUAGCUCUCAUUCGUAAGGACAUUGAGCGAGUUCGACACAGCCAUGACUUUGCCAUGUUGUGCGGCCGUGGAGACCAAAGCCCCUCCCAAGCCAAGCAAGCACAUGAAGUGCAAAGAGUGGAGGCCAAACUUGAGGACCUAGAGAGGGACAUGUUAUUGUACAGAAUAAGACUGGAUGCAAUGCGCAGGAGCUCCUCAAAGUAGCGGUAAGAAGAUGAGAUGUCAGAUAGACAGACAACAGACAGACAGGCAGGCAGAUGAGAGAUGUCCCAACAUACUGUACAGUGCACUUACUGUAGCACAGUGAUGACCAAUUUUCAUCUAUUUGUUUUAUUUUUAAUGAAAAGAAUAAAAAGAUAA